UUGACACACUGUAAGGCAGUGGCUGCUUCUGCUUGGUCUCAAACUUGCUAAAAGUACAUUCUAGAUUAUAAUUCAUGCAUCUCUCACCUGCUAGUAGACAAAUGUGGCAAUGGAGCGACUAGGCUGCUCCACUUUCACGUCCUCCGAAAUGGCCAAAAAGACCCUCGGAGAGGAUUGUGAUUGAAUCUUCAUCUCGACAGAAUGAUGCGAGCGAGAGUGUAAAUAUUCCAGAAGUGACACGUGCUGACAGGAAGUGACACGCGCUGACACGUCUUCACACUUUUGGGCGCCCGGGUCCUCCACGCCACGUUUGGACCUGCAGCGAGUCAGUGCGGCUGAACUUGGCCAAGAGGACGCGUCAUGUGAGCCGUGUUUGGCGAGACCAAGGUGGAAACAGGAAACAGGAAACAAAAGUGAAGGAAGGGUCAAAGACGCCAACAGCAGCUAACGAGUGGUCUGGUUGAACUUUGGACUUCCUGGUCAGUCUAAGGAGGUGAGGGGCCAGGCGACCUCCGACCCCUGCAUCCUAAGCACUGACAAAGUCUGAAUGACAGCUGAAAGGAAACGAGCAGUCGACAAAUCUUCUUCCUCUGAAGAAAGACGGUCUGAUUCUAACUUUUUAUUGAUGGUUUAUACUGAGAUUUAAAAAUAAUGACACAGGCAAAUAUUUGUUUUCCUCAUUUCUCAAGAGUAUUGAAUGACGAUCAGGGUAAUAAUCAGAGUAAAACUGUAAAUAGUUGUAGUAUUUAUAUUUACUGCAUGAGUCCAUCAAUACAAUCGUGUCAUCAACAAAACAAUAUUAUUUAUUCUCUCUUUUUAUUGCAUUCAAUUAGAGAUGUCUACCGAUAUUAUCGGCCGAUAAAUGUUUAAAAAUGUGAUAUCGGAAAUUAUCGGUAUCGUUUUUUUUAUUAUCGGUAUCGGUUUUUUGUUGUUGUUUUUUUUUUUUUUUUUUAUUAAAUCAACAUAAAAAACACAAGAUACACUUACAAUUAGUGCACCAACCCAAAAAACCUCCCUCCCCCAUUUACACUCCUUCACACAAAAGGGUUGUUUCUUUCUGUUAUGAAUAUUCUGGUUCCUACAUUAUAUAUCAAUAUAUAUCAAUACAGUCUGGAAGGAAUACAGUCCGUAAGCACACAUGAUUUUGCGUGCUGCUGGUCCACUAAUAGUGCUAACCUUUAACAAUUAAUUUUACUCAUUUUCAUUAAUUACUAGUUUCAAUGUAACUGUUUUUAUAUUAUUUUACUUUCUUUUUUAUUCCAAAAAAUGUUUUUAAUUUAUUUAUCUUAUUUUUUUAAAUUAUUUUUUUUUAAAAGGACCUUAUCUUCACCAUACCUGGUUAUCCAAAUUAGGCAUAAUAAUGUGUUAAUUCCACGACUGCAUAUCGGUAUCGGUUGAUAUCGGUAUCGGUAAUUAAGAGUUGGACAAUAUCGGAAUAUCGGAUUUUGGCAAAAAAGCCAUUAUCGGACAUCCCUACAUUCAAAUCAUUGAGCUGAAUAAAGUUAUUGUGCAAAAUAAGUCAAGAAAAAUAAAAUAAAAUGCAUUUGUAAAAAGUACUGUUGUAUAAAAUACUGUCGGAAAAAUACUGUUGGGAAAAAGUAGUAUUGUAAAAAGUAUUGUUGGAAAAAGUACUGUUGUAAAAUAGUAUUGUUGUAAAAAGUAUGAAUGUAAAAAGUACUGUUGUAAAAUAGUAUUGUUGCAAAAGGUUUAUUGUAAAAUGGUAUUGUUGUAAAAAUGUAUAUUGUAAAAUGGUGUUGUUGUAAAUAGUACUAUUGUAAAAUGGACUGUUGUAAGAUAGUAUCGUUGUAAAAAGUACUAUUGUAAAAAGUACUAUUGUAAAAUAUUAUUGUUGUAAAAAGUUCUAUUGUGAAAAGUACUAUUGCAAACAUUACUUUUGUAAAAUGUAUUGUUGUAAAAAUUACUAUUGUAAAAAGGCGUGCUGAGAUAGGCUCCAGCGACCCCAGAAAGGGACAAGCGGUAGAAAAUGGAUGGAUGGAUGGACUGUUGAAAAAUAGUUUUGUUGUAAAAGGUACUAUUGUAAAAAGGACUGAUGUAAAAUAGUAUUGUUGUAAAAAGAACUAUUGUAAAAAGGACGGUUGUAA